rnacentral:tRNA from 5 species
GGUAGACGCUACGGACUU